rnacentral:rRNA from 1 species
UACAGAGGGUGCAAGCGUUAAUCGGAAUUACUGGGCGUAAAGCGUGCGUAGGUGGUUUGUUAAGUCAGGUGUGAAAUCCCUGGGCUCAACCUGGGAACUGCAUUUGAUACUGGCAGACUAGAGUGUGGUAGAGGGUGGUGGAAUUCCCGGUGUAGCGGUGAAAUGCGUAGAUAUCGGGAGGAACAUCAGUGGCGAAGGCGGCCACCUGGACCAACACUGACACUGAGGCACGAAAGCGUGGGUAGCAAACAGG